GUGUCAUAAUAGGCAGUUGGUGUUCUGAAUGGCAGUUAUGAAGAGGAUACUUUGUAGAAAGGACUUCUUUUCUAGAGAUAUAUUUAAGAGCCUGAUCAUUGGAGAACAAAAUGCAUGCGGAAAGGAAAUAUUUUAACCACAGUCUAAAAAAGAUCUUAUGGUCCAGUGCUGUUUUCCCUUAUAGUCCUAUUAAAUUCAUUAAUUUCCAA
rnacentral:lncRNA from 1 species